rnacentral:rRNA from 1 species
AUGAAAAUCUUAUAUUCCCUGAGGAGGUUCUACCACGUGGAAACGCUCUUUAAUGGAACUUUCGUUUUAGCUGGUCGUGACCAAGAAACCACCGGCUUUGCUUGGUGGGCUGGGAAUGCCAGACUUAUCAAUUUGUCCGGUAAACUACUUGGAGCUCAUGUAGCCCAUGCCGGAUUAAUCGUAUUCUGGGCCAGAGCAAUGAACCUAUUUGAAGUGGCCCAUUUCGUACCAGAAAAGCCCAUGUAUGAACAAGGGUUGAUUUUACUUCCACACUUAGCUACUCUAGGUUGGGGAGUAGGGCCAGGGGGGGAAGUUCUAGAUACUUUUCCGUACUUUGUAUCUGGCGUACUUCACCUAAUUUCCUCUGCAGUUUUAGGCUUCGGUGGCAUUUAUCACGCGCUUCUGGGACCCGAGACUCUUGAGGAAUCUUUUCCAUUCUUUGGUUAUGUCUGGAAAGAUAGAAAUAAAAUGACUACAAUUUUGGGUAUUCACUUAAUUUUGUUAGGUCUAGGUGCUUUUCUUCUAGUACUCAAGGCUCUUUAUUUUGGCGGUGUAUAUGAUACCUGGGCCCCUGGGGGGGAGAUGUAA